CGAGUAGGCGGUUAGGUAAGUGGAAUGUGAAAUCCCUCGGCUCACCCGAGGACCUGCAUCCCAAACUGCCUAGCUUGAGUAUGGGAGAGGAUGAGGGAAUUCCUGGUGUAGCGGUGAAAUGCGUAGAUAUCAGGAGGAACACCGGUGGCGAAGGCGCUCAUCUGGCCCAAUACUGACGCUGAUGCGCGAAAGCUAGGGGAGCGAACG
rnacentral:rRNA from 1 species